rnacentral:tRNA from 1 species
CGCGGGGUAGCUCAGUUGGCAGAGCAAGGGGCUCAUAACCCUCCAGUCGCAGGUUCGAGUCCUGCCCCCGCUA